rnacentral:rRNA from 1 species
UACGUAGGGUGCUAGCGUUGUUCGGAUUUACUGGGCGUAAAGCGCACGUAGGCGGUUCUAUCAGUCAGGGGUGAAAUCCCAGGGCUCAACCCUGGAACUGCCUUUGAUACUGUCGAUCUGGAGUAUGGAAGAGGUGAGUGGAAUUCCGAGUGUAGAGGUGAAAUUCGUAGAUAUUCGGAGGAACACCAGUGGCGAAGGCGGCUCACUGGGACAAUACUGACGCUGAGGUGCGAAAGCGUGGGGAGCAAACAGG